UAGGGAAUAUUGGUCAAUGGAUGCAAGUCUGAACCAGCCAUGCCGCGUGCAGGAAGAAGGCCUUCUGGGUUGUAAACUGCUUUUACCAGGGGAUAAAAAUCUCAUGCGUGAGAAAUUGAAGGUACCUGGUGAAUAAGCCACGGCUAACUACGUGCCAGCAGCCGCGGUAAUACGUAGGUGGCAAGCGUUGUCCGGAUUUAUUGGGUUUAAAGGGUGCGUAGGCGGCCCUGUAAGUCAGUGGUGAAAUACUCUAGCUUAACUAGAGGGGUGCCAUUGAUACUGCAGGGCUUGAGUACAGAUGAGGUAGGCGGAAUUGACGGUGUAGCGGUGAAAUGCAUAGAUAUCGUCAAGAACUCCGAUAGCGAAGGCAGCUUACUAAGCUGUAACUGACGCUGAGGCACGAAAGUGUGGGGAUCAAACAGG
rnacentral:rRNA from 1 species